CAGCAAAGAGAAGCUCAGCGAACGGCACCACCUGAGAACAUCAGCAGUUCCAUAGAAAAUAGGCAGUUUCCAAGGCGGAAAGAGAUUCCAGCGGAAACGUUGCUUUUGGAGAUCAAACUAUGAAAAAUAAAAUGAAGAAAUGGAAUCUGAGAAUUACACCAGAGUGACGGAAUUUGUCCUCACAGGGCUGUCCCAGACCCGGGAGGUGCAACUGAUCUUAUUUGUUAUAUUUCUCUCUUUUUAUUUGAUCAUCCUACCGGGAAAUGUCCUUAUUAUUUUCACCAUCAGCCCCUAAGAUGCUUGUGGACUUCUUUGCUGAAAGGAAGAUCAUCUCCUUUGGGGGCUGCAUUGCUCAACUCUUCUUCCUGCACUUUGUUGGAGCCUCUGAGAUGUUCCUGCUCACAGUGAUGGCUUUUGAUCGUUAUGCCGCCAUCUGCCGACCCUUGCACUAUGCAACCAUCAUGAACAAGCGCCUGUGUUGUGUGCUGGUGGCCUGCUCCUGGUUUGGCGGUUUUAUCCACUCCAUAAUCCAGGUGGCACUCAUCAUCCGUUUGCCAUUUUGUGGCCCCAAUGAACUGGAUAGUUAUUUCUGUGACAUCACACAGGUGGUCCGCAUUGCCUGCGCCAACACCUUCCCAGAGGAGUUGGUGAUGAUCUUCAGCAGCGGGCUGAUCUCUGUGGUGUGUUUCAUUGCACUGCUCAUGUCCUAUGCCUUCCUCCUGGUCAUGCUCAAGAAGCACUCAGGCUCAGGUGAAAGUACCAGCCGGGCCAUGUCCACCUGCUACUCCCAUAUGACCAUUGUGGUCUUAAUGUUUGGCCCAUCCAUCUAUAUUUAUGCACGUCCUUUUGAUGCUUUCUCCUUAGAUAAGAUAGUAUCUGUGUUUCACACUGUGAUCUUCCCCUUACUGAAUCCCAUUAUCUAUACAUUACGAAACAAGGAAGUAAAAACUGCUAUGAGGAAAAUGAUCAACAAAUACAUUCUAUGUAAAGGGAAGUGAGUGGUCAUGAGCAUCCUCUCACUGAAUCCCAGUGAGAUUAAUAUUCCCAGAGAACACAGUCCUUGUUUUGAUAGUAUCUCUUUUGCCUUUUAAUUAGCCUCUUUUAUUUAAUUUAGGGCCUUAAACUUAUACUUGCUUCAUUUCUGAAAAAGGAAAGCAGAAGCACAGAGAUAGAAAGGAUUUUACUUCUCAAAAUAGUCUUGUAGGUUAUUUCUAAAAUCUGCCACAGGAUAAAGAACCCACAGAAUGAAAUGCCAUUCUCUGAUAUGUGCAAAGAAUGAAACAGAUUAUUGAGGUUCUCUUUUACAUCUCUCACCAAUCCCAGAGUGGGAAUAGAAAAUAAAGCCACUCCUGUCACCA
rnacentral:lncRNA from 1 species